GACGAACGCUGGCGGCAUGCCUAAUACAUGCAAGUCGAGCGAACAGAUGAAGUGCUUGCACUUCUGACGUUAGCGGCGAACGGGUGAGUAACACGUAAGGAAUCUACCUAUAAGCGGGGGAUAACAUUCGGAAACGGGUGCUAAUACCGCAUAAUAUCUUCUUCCGCAUGGAAGAAGAUUGAAAGACGGCUCUGCUGUCCCUUAUAGAUGACCUUGCGGUGCAUUAGUUAGUUGGUGGGGUAACGGCCUACCAAGACGAUGAUGCAUAGCCGACCUGAGAGGGUGAUCGGCCACAUUGGGACUGAGACACGGCCCAAACUCCUACGGGAGGCAGCAGUAGGGAAUCUUCCGCAAUGGGCGAAAGCCUGACGGAGCAAUGCCGCGUGAGUGAAGAAGGCCUUCGGGUCGUAAAACUCUGUUAUAAGAGAAGAACAAAUUGUAGAGUAACUGCUACAGUCUUGACGGUACCUUAUCAGAAAGCCACGGCUAACUACGUGCCAGCCGCCGCAGUAA
rnacentral:rRNA from 1 species